UACGAAGGGGGCGAGCGUUGUUCGGAUUUACUGGGCGUAAAGGGCGCGUAGGCGGCCUUGUCAGUCAGGCGUGAAAGCCCCGGGCUCAACCUGGGAACGGCGCUUGGGACGGCGAGGCUGGAGUUCGGGAGAGGAGAGUGGAAUUCCCAGUGUAGAGGUGAAAUUCGUAGAUAUUGGGAAGAACACCGGUGGCGAAGGCGGCUCUCUGGACCGACACUGACGCUGAGGCGCGAAAGCGUGGGGAGCAAACGGG
rnacentral:rRNA from 1 species